ensembl:snRNA U5 U5 spliceosomal RNA
UUACUCUGAUUUCUCUUCAGAUCGUAUAAAUCUUUCGCCUUUUACUAAAGAUUUCCGUGGAGAGGAUCAAUAAGAGUUUUACUCAAUUUUUUGACGCUCUGCUUCAAUGUGGGGCU